AUCAAUAAUUUUUUUUGACUCACGGAUUUGUUGAAAACCCUCUUUGUAAGGAAAAAGCUAGAUUUAUAAAUCAAAAUGAGUACAAAACUCUCUUGGAUUCUCUUAACGUUUAUGCUCUGUUCUCUUGUAACUUGGGGAAGCGCCUUCACCCCAGGAGCAGGGAAACCUCAGGUGGGAAGACGAGAAAUACCGCCAAGACCUAACACCGAACAGGAAAACUUCUUAACAGCACUCUGUGAGAAAGUUCGGCCCUGCGCAGAAAACAACAGAAAACGAAGUCUCGAUCGUGAAGCUCAACCUGCAAGGGAUGCUGGAUCCCUCACUGGAUAUUAGAUAGCCGGACGUUUGAUAAAGACAAGAUUACACUAUUUUCACAGCGUUUCUGUAAAAGAAGAAAAAUAUAUUAUAUUUCACUAAUUAUGUUCGCGCUUGUAUUUUCGUAAACUUGAUAAUGUAACUGGCAUUAUAAAACUUUUAGAAAUCAAUUAUGUGUAAGUUAAACGCUAUUUUUGUAACUGAAACGUGAAAAUAAACGAUCAGUACUGCCUUAAAUGCA